rfam:Balearica pavonina gibbericeps contig59859, whole genome shotgun sequence.
ACCUGCAUUCGAAAGUGAUCGCGGUCUCGCCCGUGGCCUGGUCAUCGAUAGUGCAGGGAGAGGAACGCCGAAAGCUUUCCCGUGUUUGGGUGGGUCCGUCCCUUCCCUCCCAAACCCUGUUGCUGUCGGACA